UUGGAAUUAUUUUACCCAACACAAGGACUUGGAAUGAGAUUGAAUCGUAAGGUCUAAGAAACUAUGGCAUAGUUCGGUUUCUUGGACUCGACUUUUUGCGUAUUCAGGACCGUCAUCGAAGUCAUCACACCGACUAGCAACUUU